ACUCCUCCUAAAAAAAAAAAAAAAAAAAACAGAGAUUUUUAGGGUUCCUCCCAUUCACCUUCUUCUUCCUCUCGCCGGAUUGUUUCAGGUAUAUGUUGCAAUUCCCGUCCCUCUCUCGAUCUCGCUCUCGCUCUAUUUCGAAACUAGUUGUUUAGACGUCUCGGGAUUUUGAUCGAAUUUUGGUGCUUUAUCAAAUCAUAUGGUGAUGGAUCUUUCUCCAAUCUGUUUAUAAUAAGGCGUGUCCACUAGUUCUUCAGAUUCAAUAUCCUUGUAUAAGCCUUGUCACUUCCCUGGUUUCAUAUUCUCUUUUUAUAGGAUUUGAAGGAAGCAAUUGUGAAAUGACUUGGAUUUGUUCUUGGGUGGUAGUGGUUACUAUGUUUGAUGGAUUCAUAGUUAACUCUUAGAUACAAUGAUGCAGGAAAUAGCCAUAGGACUCAACAGAGAACAUUGCGGUAUUGAGGCUAAGCAUCCUAACUCUUCUAUCCGUAAGUGUGCUAGAGUUCAGCUUAUCAUGAUUGUUGAGGAAAACGUAAGUCGCAUGCAAUGACUUUUGUAUCCAAUCAUCCCAUUGAGGAGUUAGGCUCCUGGCCCUCUUCAAGGAAAAGAAGGAAAAGCCAAGGUCUUAAACAACUCAUACAAAGCUUCAAGCUCUUGAAAUGGAUUUCGAUAGUUCAGUUAAAAGUCUUUGUUCUGUUCUACUUUAAAAUUCAAGAACUUGUGUGCUACAUUUUGUGAGUUUUUGAGCUUAGACAUGAUCGUUUAGUCUUAUGAUUUUUAAUCAAUUUACUCUUUCGAGCCUCA